AGGAAUCUGCCCGAGAGUGGGGGAUAACCCAGGGAAACUUGGAUUAAUACCGCAUGAUCUCUACGGAGCAAAGCUGGGGACCUUCGGGCCUGGCGCUUUUGGAGGAGCCUAUGUCUGAUUAGCUUGUUGGUGAGGUAACGGCUCACCAAGGCGACGAUCAGUAACUGGUCUGAGAGGACGACCAGUCACACCGGAACUGAGACACGGUCCGGACUCCUACGGGAGGCAGCAGUGGGGAAUAUUGGACAAUGGGCGAAAGCCUGAUCCAGCAAUGCCGCGUGUGUGAAGAAGGCCUUCGGGUUGUAAAGCACUUUAGGAUGGAAAGAAAAAACUUCAGUUAAUAGCUGAAGUCUUGACGGUACCAUCAGAAUAAGCACCGGCUAACUCUGUGCCAGCAGCCGCGGUAAUACAGAGGGUGCAAGCGUUAAUCGGAUUUACUGGGCGUAAAGCGUGUGUAGGUGGUGGCGUAAGUCGAUUGUGAAAUCCCCGGGCUCAACCUGGGAACUGCUUUCGAUACUGCGUCACUAGAGUACGGUAGAGGGUGGUGGAAUUUCCGGUGUAGCGGUGAAAUGCGUAGAUAUCGGAAGGAACAUCAAUGGCGAAGGCAACCACCUGGGCCUGUACUGACACUGAGACACGAAAGCGUGGGGAUCAAACAGGAUUAGAUACCCUGGUAGUCCACGCCGUAAACGAUGAUCACUA
rnacentral:rRNA from 1 species